rnacentral:rRNA from 1 species
UGCCAGCCGCCGCGGUAAUACGGAGGGUCCAAGCGUUAUCCGGAUUUAUUGGGUUUAAAGGGUGCGUAGGCGGGAUAAUAAGUCAGUGGUGAAAGCCUGCAGCUUAACUGUAGAAUUGCCAUUGAUACUGUUAUCCUUGAGUACAGACGAGGUAGGCGGAAUGUGGUAUGUAGCGGUGAAAUGCUUAGAUAUGCCACAGAACACCGAUUGCGAAGGCAGCUUACUAGACUGUUACUGACGCUGAGGCACGAAAGCGUGGGGAGCGAACAGGAUUAGAUA